AUCGGGAAUACAUAAUGUAUUUCAUGUAUCUACGCUUCGAAAAUAUAUUUUUGAUCCCACUCAUAUUUUGGAAAGUAUUCCAAUAGAGAUACAAGAAGAUUUGAGCUUCGAAGAGCAACCACUGGAAAUUUUAGCUCGAGAAAUGAAACAACUUCGAAAUCGUGAAAUACCCUAUGUAAAGGUGCUCUGGAGCAACCAUGAUGAACGCGAAGCAACUUGGGAGUUAGAGAGUGCAAUGCAAGAGCAUUAUCCCCACCUUUUCUAGUGAAGACUUGAGGUAAUCAUUUCCGUUUCGCGGACAAAAAUCCUUUUUAAGAGGGGUGACUGUAGUAUACUGAACUUAAGCAAAUUGCAGAGUUCCAGUGUAUGGAUGACAAUUGGAACCAUCCUACACGUUCUACAGAGUUUGGAGUUGGUGACCAAGUUUGGGAGUGAUCGGAGGGUGAGAAGCAAGAAAGUCCAUUGCUGUGGCAUUUCUUUCGAAUUUCUGCAUUGUGUACCGGUAAAACAUCAAUGUUGUACCGGUACAGCAAGCAGCAGCAGCAGCAGGUGCGUGGCAGCAGGAACCUUUUGGUCUUUUGGCUUCUUGAUCUUAUCUCUAAGAUGCAGCUCGACCUUUGCAGUUGUUCAGAGGUUGCUGGAGCUCAGAGGGAAGGGUUUGUGCCUAUUCCACAUUCUCUCUCUAAGAGUUUUUCUCUCUCUACACUAGAAUCAAGGGUUUUGAUCUACUUUCUUCUCCUUCUUCGAUACCAAUUGUUUUGGGAGGCUAGGGGAUUGUUGUAAAAGGGUGAAGAAGGUACUUUGGGAAGGUUUUCGCAGCUCCAUCACAAUAGGUAGCUAAGUAGAGACCUGCUAAGCUGGUUUGAGGAGAGUUCUAGUAGCUCUAGAAGCUGGAUUUGAUGUGGUUUUUGUAACCUGAUUCCAGAGGGAGAAUAAGAUUGAAGUUUGGAAAGAGCUUGGAGGCUUCUGUUGUGCUGAAUUACUUGAUAUUGUGAACUAGGUUGAGGAGAUUUCGACCAACAAGAAGCAGAGUUACAU